GAUGAACGCUGACAGAAUGCUUAACACAUCAGCAAUUGAUUGGUGGCGGACGGGUGAGUAACGCGUAAAGAACUUACCUCACAGUUAGGGACAACAUUUGGAAACGAAUGCUAAUACCUAAUACUGUGAGAGAGCUUUGCGUCCCAUUAGCGAGUUGGAGAGGUAACGGCUCACCAAGGCGAUGAUGGGUAGCCGGCCUGAGAGGGUGAUCGGCCACAAGGGGACCGGGAAACGGCACUUACUCCUACGGGAGGUAGGAGGGGGGAAUAUUGGACAAUUGGCCAAAGGCGGAUUCGGCAAUUCUGUGUGGAAGAUUAAGUUUUCGGAAUGUAAAGUGCUUUCAGUUGGGAAGCGGUACCAACAGAAGAAGUGACGGCUAAAUACGUGCCAGCAGCCGCGGUAAUUC
rnacentral:rRNA from 1 species